rnacentral:rRNA from 1 species
UACGGAGGGGGCUAGCGUUAUUCGGAAUUAUUGGGCGUAAAGGGCGUGUAGGCGGCUUUGUGUGUCCCAUGUGAAAGCCCUCGGCUCAACCGGGGAACUGCAUGGGAAACUGCGGAGCUUGAGUACGGGAGAGGAUAGGGGAAUUCCUGGUGUAGCGGUGAAAUGCGUAGAUAUCAGGAGGAACACCGGUGGCGAAGGCGCCUAUCUGGCCCGAUACUGACGCUGAGGCGCGAAAGCUAGGGGAGCAAACGGG